rnacentral:rRNA from 1 species
AGUGAACGCUGGCGGCGUGCUUAACACAUGCAAGUCGAACGAGAACGGGCUAUAGCUUGCUAUCGUUGUCAGCUAAGUGGCGCACGGGUGAGUAAUGUAUAGGUAAUAUGCCUCUUACUAAGGGAUAACAAAUGGAAACGUUUGCUAAUACCUUAUACUCCUUUUAAACAGAAGUUUAAAAGGGAAAGAUUUAUUGGUAAGAGAUUAGCCUGUAUUGUAUCAGUUAGUUGGUGGGGUAAUGGCUUACCAAGACUAUGACACAUAACUGGUUUGAGAGGAUGAUCAGUCACACUGGAACUGAGACACGGUCCAGACUCCUACGGGAGGCAGCAGUGGGGAAUAUCGCACAAUGGACGAAAGUCUGAUGCAGCAACGCCGCGUGGAGGAUGACACAUUUCGGUGCGUAAACUCCUUUUAUAUGAGAAGACAAUGACGGUAUUAUGUGAAUAAGCACCGGCUAACCCCGUGCCAGCAGCCGCAGUAA